rnacentral:rRNA from 1 species
AGUGAACGCUGGCGGUAGGCCUAACACAUGCAAGUCGAACGGCAGCACAGUAAGAGCUUGCUCUUACGGGUGGCGAGUGGCGGACGGGUGAGGAAUACAUCGGAACCUACUUUUUCGUGGGGGAUAACGUAGGGAAACUUACGCUAAUACCGCAUACGACCUACGGUUGAAAGCAGGGAAUCUUCGGACCUUGCGCGAUUGAAGGAGCCGAUGUCGGAUUAGCUAGUUGGCGGGGUAAAGGCCCACCAAGGCGACGAUCCGUAGCUGGUCUGAGAGGAUGAUCAGCCACACUGGAACUGAGACACGGUCCAGACUCCUACGGGAGGCAGCAGUGGGGAAUAUUGGACAAUGGGCGCAAGCCUGAUCCAGCCAUACCGCGUGGGUGAAGAAGGCCUUCGGGUUGUAAAGCCCUUUUGUUGGGAAAGAAAAGCAGCAGGUUAAUACCCCGCUGUUCUGACGGUACCCAAAGAAUAAGCACCGGCUAACUUCGUG